rnacentral:lncRNA from 1 species
AAGAAUAGUAUAAAUAGAAGUGGCUGAAGUCCCUGCCUUUUACCCUUCUGGAGGAGAACACGAAUCUUUGGGAACUAGUUCAGGAAGGGAUUCUGCAUCUUCAGAGCUGCUUCUCUUCCUCUUCCCUGUUCUGACUUCAGGAUCUGGACUUACCUCAAUUGCUUUUGCUGCUUGUUCUUUUGUUUCAAAUUCCACAAACGCAAAUCCCUUUGGAUCUCCAGUAGACUUAUAAUGUGGUAUACUUAUAUAAACAACAUUGCCACAUUUCCCAAAUACUCUUUCAAUCCAGCUGUGAUUAACAUUUUUGGGAAGUAACUCCUAUUAUAAAUUAAAAGCAAUAUUAGAGUUUUUCACAAUCAGAAUGUCAAUAAAUUUUUAACUUAAUUAUA